CCUACGGGAGGCAGCAGUGAGGAAUAUUGGUCAAUGGCCGGAAGGCUGAACCAGCCAUGCCGCGUGAAGGGCAGGGGCCUAGGGGCGUGAAACUUCUUUUGUGCGGGAGCAAGAAUGGUCACGUGUGGCCAGACGGGAGUACCGUACGAAGAAGCAGCGGCGAACUCCGGGCCAGCAGCCGCGGUAAUACGGGGGAUGCAAGAGUUCACCGGAUUUAGUGGGGUUAAAGGGGGCGUAGGCUGGGAGGUAAGUCAGCGGGGAAAUGCCCCCGCUCCACGGGGUGAAGUGCCAUUGAUACUGCCUUGCUGGACUGCGGAUGCCGUGGGCGGAAUGUGUGGUGUCGCGG
rnacentral:rRNA from 1 species